GGUCGCUAAUACCCGAUGUGCCGAGAGGUGAAAGGAUUAAUUGCCUGAGGAUGAGCUCGCGUCUGAUUAGCUAGUUGGAGGGGUAACGGCCCACCAAGGCGACGAUCAGUAGCUGGUCUGAGAGGAUGAUCAGCCACACUGGGACUGAGACACGGCCCAAACUCCUACGGGAGGCAGCAGUGGGGAAUUUUCCGCAAUGGGCGCAAGCCUGACGGAGCAAGACCGCGUGAGGGAAGACGGCCUACUGGUUGUAAACCUCUUUUGAUAGGGAAGAACACAAUGACGGUACCUAUCGAAUCAGCCUCGGCUAACUCCGUGCCAGCAGCCGCGGUAAUACGGAGGAGGCAAGCGUUAUCCGGAAUUAUUGGGCGUAAAGCGUCCGUAGGUGGAUAUUCAAGUCAGUUGUUAAAGCGUGGAGCUUAACUCCAUAAGGGCAAUUGAAACUGAAUGUCUAGAGUGCGAUAGGGGCAAGGGGAAUUCCCAGUGUAGCGGUGAAAUGCGUAGAUAUUGGGAAGAACAUCGGUGGCGAAAGCGCCUUGCUGGGUCUGCACUGACACUGAGGGACGAAAGCUAGGGGAGCGAAAGGGAUUAGAUACCCCC
rnacentral:rRNA from 1 species